GGAGAAAUAAAAACUUACAGAUGGAAUGUCCCUAAAAGAUCAGGUCCAGGGCCCUCUGAUCCUAAUUGUAUUCCAUGGGUUUACUAUUCAACAGUAAACUUUGUGAAGGAUACAUAUAGUGGUUUGAUGGGUCCUCUGUUUACAUGUCGAGAAGGAGUAUUGAAUGAAAAGGGAAAAAGAAGUGAUGUUGACUCCACUAAUGGGAAGAUUUUUGGAAAUCUCCAUGGCCUCAUAAUGAACGAAGAUACAAUGACAAACUGGUAUUUGUUAGGAAUAGGAAAUGAAGUAGAUAUACAUACCAUCCAUUACCACACUGAGAGCUUUCUUUUCAAAAUAAAUCUUACCGAGAAGAUGUAUACGAUCUCUUUCCUGGGACAUUCCAAACCAUUGAACUGUUUGCAGAUCACCCAGGAACAUGGCUACUACACUGUCAUGUGUCUGACCACAUCCAUGCUGGCAUGGAGACAACCUACACAGUACUCCGGAACAUAGACAACAGGAUUCCAUACUCCACUAAGUCUCCUUCUGGAGGAGUAUCCCACC